UGACAAUUUACUUGUAAUUGGACACUUGUACGUUUACCUUUAUUGCUUUCAAAUUUUAUAACAAAAAAACCUUUCAUUGGAAGUGUGUUGGAAGUCUCCAAUAGGUUACCCUACUUUCAUUAGUGUGUAAUAAUUUUAGGAAGUGUGUUGGAAGUCUCCAAUAUGUUAUCCUACUUUUACAAAUCCCCAAUAAGAAAGAAUCAUAACUUAAGAACUAACAUGAGUCAUGAUUCAUCUAGUGUUAAUGGUGAGGAUACUAGUCAUAAGGACCCUCUAUCUAAAAUAUUAGAUUAGUUGAGUUCCCUCAAGUUAUGAAAAGAAAAACUAAAAAGAAAAGAAAAAGGAAAAGAGAGGAUAAAAAUAAAUCAAGAUGAGAAGAAACAAGUAAGAAAAGAAGAAGGAAG
rnacentral:lncRNA from 1 species